rnacentral:rRNA from 1 species
UACAGAGGUCCCAAGCGUUGUUCGGAUUCACUGGGCGUAAAGGGUGCGUAGGCGGUCGGGUAAGUCUGACGUGAAAUCUCCGGGCCUAACCCGGAAACUGCGUUGGAAACUGCCCGGCUAGAGGAAUGGAGGGGAGACUGGAAUACUUGGUGUAGCAGUGAAAUGCGUAGAUAUCAAGUGGAACACCAGUGGCGAAGGCGAGUCUCUGGACAUUUCCUGACGCUGAGGCACGAAGGCCAGGGGAGCAAACGGG